GAUGAAGAACGUAGUGAAAUGCGAUAAGUAGUGUGAAUUGCAGAAUUCAGUGAAUCAUCGAAUCUUUGAACGCACAUUGCGCCCUUUGGUAUUCCUUAGGGCAUGCCUGUUCGAGCGUCAUUUAAACCGUCAAGCUAAGCUUGGUGUUGGGUGACUGUCCGCUUCACGGCGGACUCGCCUCAAAAUUAUUGGCGGCCGGUACAUUGGCUUCGAGCGCAGCAGAAACGCGAACUCGGGCCCGUCGUAUUGGCUCCCAGAAGCUAUCUUCACAAUUUUGACCUCGGAUCAGGUAGGGAUACCCGCUGAACUUAAGCAUAUCAAUAAGCGGAGGA
rnacentral:misc_RNA from 1 species